AACGUAGGACACGAGCGUUAUCCGGAGUUACUGGGCGUAAAGGGCGUUUAGGCGGGUGACUAAGUUCGCUAUGAAAGCGCCGGGCUAAACCCGGCGAGGCUGGCGGAUACUGGUGAUCUGGAGUGAGGUAGAGGGAAGUAGAAUUCCGCGUGUAGUGGUGAAAUGCGUAGAGAUGCGGAGGAAUACCAGUGGCGAAGGCGACUUCCUGGACCUUAACUGACGCUGAAGCGCGAAAGCAUGGGGAGCGAACGGG
rnacentral:rRNA from 2 species